rnacentral:lncRNA from 1 species
UCUUAACAAACACACAAUUCUUUGGUUUGGUAAUUGAAAUCAGACCAAUAAAAUCAUAAUUAAUUUUUUUGAUUUUGACCCACCUUGUUAAACCCUUUUCAACAGUUGAAAAAAUAUGAAUUAACGCUUCAAAAUUUAAAACUUUUUUCAACUACACAUACACAAGUAGUUAAAUUAAAAAUUUAUGAGACUCAUGCUAUGUUAUAAAGUGUGUGCAAAGUACAAACACAUAGAUAAUAAAAAAAAAAAAAAACAGAGAGAUAGAGUUUACCUAAGAAAGAAGAAAGGAGAGGUUGAAAGAGAAAGAGGAUAGUUGGGUGCUUGGUGGGUAUUCAUAGUCAUAGAUAGAGGAAGAAGAAUAUGCUACAGUGAGUACAUAGUAAGUGAUGUA